AUCGCAAGCCGUCUUAUCGUCUCGUCUCGAUGCAACUCGAGGUCGGGAAGGAAAGUCCGGGCAGCAUAGAGCAUCGUACUUCCUAACAGGAAGGCCUUGACGUUAACCGUCAGGGACAGAAAGUGCCACAGAAAACAAACUACUCUCGACCGAUUUUUUCGGGCGGAGAAAAGGUGAAAAGGUGAGGUAAGAGCUCACCGCUUUGAUGGUGACAUCAAAGGCACGGUAAACCUUACGAGCUGAAAGGCCAAAUAAGCCCCGAUCUUUGGUGCGCUCUCACCAAGACGCGAGUCUGUCGAGGCGGGUAGGCUGAUUGAUGCUGAUGGCGACAUCAGUACCAGAUAAAUGAUAAGAGCCUGACGGCAACGUUAGGAACAGAACCCGGCUUACAGGCUUGCUUUUUUU
rnacentral:RNase_P_RNA from 1 species